rnacentral:rRNA from 1 species
GAUGAACGCUAGCUACAGGCUUAACACAUGCAAGUCGAGGGGAAACGAUAGAGAAAGCUUGCUUUUUCUAGGCGUCGACCGGCGCACGGGUGAGUAACGCGUAUCCAACCUGCCCAUCACUUGGGGAUAACCUUGCGAAAGUAAGACUAAUACCCAAUGAGGUCUCUAGAAGACAUCUGAAAGAGAUUAAAGAUUUAUCGGUGAUGGAUGGGGAUGCGUCUGAUUAGCUUGUUGGCGGGGUAACGGCCCACCAAGGCGACGAUCAGUAGGGGUUCUGAGAGGAAGGUCCCCCACAUUGGAACUGAGACACGGUCCAAACUCCUACGGGAGGCAGCAGUGAGGAAUAUUGGUCAAUGGGCGAGAGCCUGAACCAGCCAAGUAGCGUGCAGGAUGACGGCCCUAUGGGUUGUAAACUGCUUUUAUAAGGGAAUAAAGUGGGAGUCGUGACUCCUUUUGCAUGUACCUUAUGAAUAAGGACCGGCUAAUUCCGUGCCAGCAGCCGCGGUAAUACGGAAGGUCCGGGCGUUAUCCGGAUUUAUUGGGUUUAAAGGGAGCGUAGGCCGGAGAUUAAGCGUGUUGUGAAAUGUAGACGCUCAACGUCUGCACUGCAGCGCGAACUGGUUUCCUUGAGUACGCACAAAGUGGGCGGAAUUCGUGGUGUAGCGGUGAAAUGCUUAGAUAUCACGAAGAACUCCGAUUGCGAAGGCAGCUCACUGGAGCGCAACUGACGCUGAAGCUCGAAAGUGCGGGUAUCGAACAGGAUUAGAUACCCUGGUAGUCCGCACGGUAAACGAUGGAUGCCCGCUGUUGGUCUGAAUAGGUCAGCGGCCAAGCGAAAGCAUUAAGCAUCCCACCUGGGGAGUACGCCGGCAACGGUGAAACUCAAAGGAAUUGACG